rnacentral:tRNA from 1 species
AAAAAUUUAGUUAAACUAUAUCAUUAGCUUGCCAAGCUAAAUUUAUUAAAUUUUAAUAAUUUUUA